AGGCCAGUAGCUCAACUGGUAGGGCAGCGGUCUCCAAAACCCCAGGUUGGGGGUUCGAGUCCCUCCUGGCCUGCCA
rnacentral:tRNA from 1 species